CGGGUGGUCAGGCUCGCUGACUUGGUUGACACAUGUCACCGUAUCCCAAUUGUGUAGAUCGAUGCUCAUGCUGUUCAUCACUGGAUUGUCUGGUCGAGACUCGAAUAUUUACAAACUGCCACCAUGAAGCUCGAAUAUUGCUGUGGAGUGGAGCAUAAAGUUCAACUCACA